GGAGAGCGUAUUUCUUAUUUUCCAAAGAGAAAGGGUAAUGCUUAUUCUUACUCUCUCAUAACAAACGCUCAUAAAUUGGAUAGGAAGGAGAAAUCUUCAGUAUCAGAGAGAGUUUAUAAGAUAUUAAGCUCACUGAUGACAAAACUUAAUUGCCAUGCUAAGUGUAAAUGGAGAUUAGAAUGCAGCUUUCCAACACUCAGUACUAUGACACGAUGCUUCUUGGGGACCCAUUUCUGUCAUCUCAGGCUGUCUCUCCCAAGUCAACGUGAAUGCUGAAAUGAACGUCAUUCAUUUCAUAGCUUCAAAAGUAGCUUUGCACUGUAUUCCACAGCUCCUGGUUGGCAUUUUUGUGGAUGAAUACCACUGGGAGUUAAGGACUUGCUGUGACUCUCACUCUUACUUAUAGGAGUUUUGCCUGCAGCAGUCACAUAGUUGAAAAAUAUGGAUCCAUGUGACUGCUAAGAGACCACUGAGAAGCCAACUGCUCUGCUCUGCGCUGACCCUUCCCACCCGCCUGCUCUCGGGCAUACCCUGCACUGCUGCCCAUGGCGUGGAGGAGCAGAACGGGAUGUGUUCCAUGCCCCUCACAGCCCAAGACCUGGCAGGAGCUCCACCACCCGCCCAGCUCUUCUUCACACAUCUCCCAGGCGCUAAGUGGGAAGAACUAGAGGUAGACCAGAAGCAGCCAGCACGCCCUGCGAGUAGGAGCUCCGAGGGACUUUGCAGCUCAGCUUCCAUUCUGCUCACCUGGUGCAUCCUCUGCACUCCUACGUACGCAGAGAAACAGAUUUUGAGUUCUGAUUGUUCUGUCCAAAGAAGGAAAGCUAGUUCAUGGAGCUUGCUGGAAUAA
rnacentral:lncRNA from 1 species